rnacentral:lncRNA from 1 species
GGAUAGUUAUCAUAUAAUAUUACAAAAACAGCAGCAUUAAAAACCAAAAACACUAGUGCCAGCACAACAGGCAUAAAAAAUAACUUAAGUAGACUAUAUUAGACUUGGCUUAAGAGGGAAAGACAAAUUAAGGGACAAGAUGGGGAGACACUUAGGAGGAAGGACCAGAAGGACUAUGGGACAAUUGUCGGAGAAGCAUGGUCAUUCUUUCAUUUUUUGCGGCAUGAUUCUUCAGAAGUUGUUGAGUCAAAUCCUCAAUUUUUUCAUCCAAAUCCUUAAUUUUUGCAUCUAAUUUCUUCACCUUUUUCAUAUCAGGUUCUCCAUUGAACCUGCUACCUCAUCACUCCCUUUCACUGAUGCUGCAUUUAAAACUAUAAUUUCUGCUUUCUUUUAUUCCAAAACGACUGCCAUCUUAUCCAAUUUUUCCCUCAAUCUAAUUUGGACAUCAACCAAAUUAGCAACGAUGGAUUUGGACUUUGAACCACCUCUUCUUGGGAUUCUCUCAUUAUCCUCCAAGAUCAUUAAAUUAAACAUUUAUUUUACUAAUCCUACUUUUCCAGGGCCAUACUCAACAUUGAAGUAUGAAAAGAUACUGUUUAUCCAAAACCCAUAGGCCAAUUCAUGCUUUCCAUCUUUUGACAUCAUCACUGUGUUAAUGUGAUCAAUAACAAUAGCUAGAAGAUUCACUUCUAAUACUUGGACAAGGCUUCCAUGAGGGAUAUGUUAGGACGAGUCAUUGUGGUCCUCUUCUCAGUAUGAGAAAGGAGCACCUUGUUAACAAACUCAAAAAGAAGUUGGUUUUCUCCUUCAGAGCCUUCUUGUUCACAUUUUUGAUGUUUAUAUCAUCCAGAUUGACGCAGAUUUUCAAUAAAAAUACAGAAUGUUUUUCAUUUCUUAGGGACCUGGUCCCUUCAACACGUACACCAGGAAUAUCAGAUAACGCCUCUUCAUCAAUGGCAAUGCUCACCCCAUUUAAUUGAGUAGUCAAGUACAAAGCAUCACCAGAGAAAGUUAGAUUGUGAUAAAACAUUCCAACUUCCUUAUCAUACAAGGUAGGAACUGAUAACUCAAAAAGGUGAUCCGAACUUUGAAAUUUUACCUAAUCCACCAACUCUUUCAUUUUUGGAAUAGCAGCAACAUCAGGGUUAAAAACUCGAUCUCUUAAAACCUCUUGGGUUUUAAGAAUCUCUUGUCUUGCUUUCUAUGACAAAUACUUUACUUUUUCUUUGGAAGUUAAAGAUUUUCUAGUAGGACCGAUUCCUUUUGCAGAGACCCCAGGGGCUCAACUUUAAUCUAGGACCUAGUCCCUUAGUGCUGGACUUCUCACUCAUUUUCUUUUUACUUGUGCUUGUAGGCAUGGGCUUCUUGAUCAAUACUCCUCUUGAUUAACCUUUAUUAGUGAAAACAACUUUUCCUUUUGUCUUGGAUCUGGUGGCAGCCACACUCCUCUCAAUAUUAGAAUCGUCAUCAACAUCCUCACACAGAUCAUUAUCCUCAUACAUACUCCCCAAAAGACUUUCAAAGUCACUAGUAGAACUUUCAUCAAAAUUACUCUCAGUCUCCUCAUGAGAUUUCUUAAAUACUACAAUCAUUCCCUGUAUUUUUAGUGUCCUCUUUUUCUUAGUGUUAAUUUUAUUUGUUAUCAAGGCUUAUUUCAUCAAGUUCCUUGAACUCAACCUGGUCGCUGGAGGUUUAACAAGUUUUGGUAGAGCUUUGGUAAAGGAAGGUUCGAUUGUCCUCUCUAUUAGUAUCUUCUUUUUCAUCUGCAUUUCCACCAGACAGGUCAAGAAUGGGGGCAACGCCAAGUUUUCAUCCUCAACACUCUCAGUAAGAUCAUUUUGCCUCCUUGUGGAUAAUAUAGAAGGAGUUAUAUCCCACUUAGGUUAAUCGGAGUACAAGAGUCACUAGGAGGCUCUCCAUUAAGGGUAGUAAGACCUUAAAUCCCAAUUUUCUCACUCAUGGCAAGGAUAUUUAAAGACAUACCCUUAGAAGUUGGAAAAUCCCCAUUAAACAUAUUUUCAUCAAUGGAGACACUCCCAGACUUACUAGGUGACUCAACUUUUAUCGGGGACAAGACUUUGAAAGGGAAUUUUAAAAUUGACUCAAAGGGAUAGGUUGGUCCGGGAUUGAAAGAAUUUCUUCAGAAACUUUGUCUUUAGAAGGGAUAAUUAUAGUAUUAGGGAUGGGGUGUGCAUCUUGGUUAGUUUUGUUAGAUAAAGAUGCAUCUGAUGAAUCUUUCUCCUUUUGAGACCUAAACUCACGAGCAACUUUGGAAAGACAGAGUGAAGAGUAUUUUAUAAUGGCAGAAGCAUUUGAGGGGUAGAAUCAGGGUACCAGGAUGGAGAAUAAGACACUUCUAAGGGUAUUAAAUCACCUUGAGGUGGAUAAGACGAAUGAGAGUUUGAAAUUUUGGUUAAUUUUGAGAGACAAAGUCAUUUUGAAAAGAAUAACCAAGAGAGAAAUUUGGGAACUUGUAGGCUAUGAAUGUAAGG